AUGAUAUGCAGUACUGACGGCGACGCCAUGCAGUUCGCUGUGCGAAUCCCGUCCAGGUUUGGUGCUGUUCAGAAGCAUUUCUACUGCUUUCAGAAGAAAAAAUUAUGGGUUGUUUUCGAUGCAGUGCAGUUCAGACACUCAUUGAGGACUUGGAGCUCGCCCGCGAGUGGCUCGUGGUCCGCGCAGCUCGGGCGUGCAACUAUUGGGUCCUCCACCGCUGCAAGUCCUCCACCUGUUGCGCCGUCCUCCACAGUACAGUCCACAUGGCCAGAGUAUGCCACAACCCACAACUCCAGCGGGGGGUAA
rnacentral:rRNA from 1 species